rnacentral:rRNA from 1 species
AUCCCUUGACAUCCUGCGAACUUUCUAGAGAUAGAUUGGAGCCUUCGGGAACGCAGUGAC